AUAAACGGGAAGUUAAAUUUGAGGAAAAGAAUUCAUAGUAGUAUUAAAAUUUUCCUCAGUCUUAUAUUAUAAAUAAAUAAAAAAAUUCAUAUUUAUUAAGAUAAGUAAAAUAGAAUAAUUUAAAAUAUGAAUUUUUGUGUUUUACUUGCUUGAAAUAAGUUUCAUGGGAAAAAGAAUUUACAAACACGUUUUUACCCGUGAUUUGAGUCCUUUUUUUCAAAGAAUUUUGUACACAUGUCAUGUCCAAAAGGCUUCUCUUCUCAUAUGGCUUUGACAAUUAAUCCACAUAAUUCACAUGAGAAACCAAAAAUUCAAAUUCUACAUAGAAAGUUGAUGAUUUAUAGUGUACCAUUAAUA
rnacentral:lncRNA from 1 species